GGUGUGUAUAGUAUUUACCAUACUAGAAGAAAUUUAGUCUGCAGUGUCUAGACACAGGUUAAUCAAGCUGUACUUUGUUUACUACUUGGUCCACUAGAAAAAUGUGCUCCAGUGUUAAAUAGAUGUUAAACACCCUGCUUGCGUUUAUAUCAAAACAUAGAAUGCAAGGCAGAACGCACUUCAGUUGCUCCAGGUUAUCAGCUUAGUUUGAGCAAAGUUAAAAUAGACAUUCUGGGCACCAAUACAACAUGCAUUUGUUUGGUUCUUGGCCUCAUUAGUGUGUCAUAUUUUUUUGCAUGCUCAAAUCUAGUUUUAUUUGUGCAAUGAACAUUCAGAAUGCUGUACCAUAAGCCUUCUUCCUCUUACACCUGCAUUCAAAAAGAGGAGACCUAGUAAGUCUACAACUACCUGUUUAUAUUGUCUACAGCCAGGCUGAGAGUUAAAAGCAUGUCAGUUCUGUUGGAUCCAAGUCUGAACAUUUGACAGGAAAUUCCUUCUGGCACAAAUUGGCAUUGAUAUGAAGGCAGGCUUAUAUAUUUUUGAGCAUGCAAAAGAUACACCACGUUGAGGCCAAAAUCUAUCAGAUACACCAAAGUUGUAUGGUGUUCCUUU